GACGAACCGUGCGAACGUUGUUCGGAAUCACUGGGCUUAAAGGGCGCGUAGGCGGGCCCUCAAGUCAGGGGUGAAAGCCCACGGCCCAACCGUGGAAGUGCCUCUGAUACUGGGGGUCUGGAGGGGGAUAGGGGCGUGCGGAACUUGGGGUGGAGCGGUGAAAUGCGUAGAUAUCCCAAGGAACACCGGUGGCGAAGGCGGCACGCUGGGUCCCUGCUGACGCUGAGGCGCGAAAGCCAGGGGAGCGAACGGG
rnacentral:rRNA from 1 species